rnacentral:rRNA from 1 species
UACGGGGGGGGCAAGCGUUGUUCGGAAUUACUGGGCGUAAAGGGCUCGUAGGCGGCCAACUAAGUCAGACGUGAAAUCCCUCGGCUUAACCGGGGAACUGCGUCUGAUACUGGUUGGCUUGAGUGUGGGAGAGGGAUGCGGAAUUCCAGGUGUAGCGGUGAAAUGCGUAGAUAUCUGGAGGAACACCGGUGGCGAAGGCGACAUCCUGGACCAACACUGACGCUGAGGAGCGAAAGCCAGGGGAGCAAACGGG